rnacentral:rRNA from 1 species
GCCGCAGUAUUACUGUGCUAAGGUAGCAUAAUAACUUGCUUCUUAAUUAGGAGAUCGCAUGAAGGGUUAUACAUUAGGAUCCUGUCUCUUUUAACCAAAUAAACUUAAGUAAAAAGUAAAAACUCUUUUAACCAAAGCGGGACGACAAGACCCUGACAAACUUAACAUUUAGUUGGGGAAACAAAAUAAUAAAUAUUUAUUCAUAACUUAAACAUAACUUUAAAAUAAAAACAAGACUAGUUACUGCAGGGAUAACAGCGUUAUUUCUUUUAAGAGCUCUGAUCUAAAAAGAAGAUUACGACCUCGAUGUUGAAUUAAUUCCGCUAUACGGGUGCAACAACCCUAUAAGGUAGUCUGUUCGACUAUUAAAAAAUU